rnacentral:rRNA from 1 species
AGGUGGUGCAUGGUUGUCGUCAGCUCGUGUCGUGAGAUGUUGGGUUAAGUCCCGCAACGAGCGCAACCCUCGUUCUCUGUUGCCAGCACGUUAUGGUGGGAACUCAGGGGAUACUGCCGGGGUCAACUCGGAGGAAGGUGGGGAUGACGUCAAAUCAUCAUGCCCCUUAUGUCUUGGGCUUCACGCAUGCUACAAUGGCCGGUACAAAGGGCUGCGAUACCGUGAGGUGGAGCGAAUCCCAAAAAGCCGGUCCCAGUUCGGAUUGUAGUCUGCAACUCGACUACAUGAAGUCGGAGUCGCUAGUAAUCGCAGAUCAGCAACGCUGCGGUGAAUACGUUCCCGGGUCUUG